CAUCAUCUUCUUCAGCUGACUCUCGGACACCGCCAUGGCGCGCGCCUCCGUCCCCGCAGGCAGAGGGUCAGCGCCACGGGGCCGCCCCAGGCCGCCAGACAAUCGCCGCCGCCCCGCCCCCGCCAAGCAGGAAGCCGGCGCGCCGUGCUUCCGCUUCCUGCGCGUCACUUCCGGGGUCGCCACUGCGGCUUGAGGCUGGGCUUGGGGUUUUAUCAGUUCCCACAGUUGCCGGCCGGGCAGUAAAAGCAACACCAAAAUCAUCUACAAAGAACUAAUGCUUAUCUCCUCAACUACCCCAAGUUUUGUGGUUCUGGGACCAAAAACUAUAAAACCUGCAUAUAGGGCAAGCACCUUACCACUGAGCUACAUCCCUAUCCUGAAUGUCCAAGGUUUAAUCCAGUGAACUCUGCUGGGAGUCUUCCUCAACACAUUACUUUUUUACUUUCUCCAACGUGGAUUGCUGAAGCUCACUUGUCAGUGUAACUACCUAGCGUCACACCAAGAAGGAGAUUACUUCCUUCCACCUCACAAACCACUGAGCUCCUCUCUCUACCCAGACGGAUUCCAAAUGCUCUGGACUUCACUGCACUUAGCACACUUGUAUUUACAUGAUAUUUUGUUAUUGUGUUCCCUUGCUAAUCUGUAAGUACCAGCAAGGCUUGUCCCUAAUCUGAGCAUGUUCUCCAAUAAAGUUUCCUUUGUGAGAAGUUCUUAAUAACCACUGGCUGAAUGACUAAAUAAAUAAACAUUGUCUUCAGCACAUAC